GUUCAUUCUGUUGCUCAAGUAUAUAGAUUUCUCACAGUUGACAAUGCUUAAGGUCAUACUAUUAGACCCAAGUAGCAAGUCACCGCCCAAGACCAAGGGCAAGCGUUACUCAGAUCCCUCAGGGUCUCAUACCAGGCGGAGAUGCUGAUACCUUGUGGGUGUCAGGCAGUGGGUACCAGCCUAGGAAAGGAAUAGCCUGAUCAUUAGUUUGGGGGCUCCAGCAGCCGUACCAGCAUCCUUAUCUUGUGGAUGCCCUGGGUUUUUCUGGUACUGGGCUCUUCCCUUUGGUGGCAUCUUCAGCAUCAUGGCUCAGGGCACCUAGCACUGACUACUUUUAUUCUUGCCACCCCCAUCAUAUCAGAACCGGUCCUAACCCACGGCUUGCCUGUGACGCCAGCUCUGGCUUCUGCCAGGAACCUAAUGGUCAAGCUAAUAACAGAGUGUAGGGAGUCAGUGUCCCAGGGACAGCGUAGGGAAAGGAGCCCAUGGAAGAACCCUUUGCCUGAAUCUCAGAAGGAUGAUUCCAAGAGACAUUCUGUGCUCUUCUCAGAGAACCCUAUGCAGGACCAAGGCCUCAUUCUCCUUUCUGAGUGGACAUCUUAGUAACACAACCUUUAUGCUGAUUUUCCCUCAGUUCCUUAUCCACUCCCUGGUUCUUCACUCCAGAUCCCUUUUUUCCCUGAAAAGCUUGCCGCCCAAGAACACUUUUCUCCGAUCUCUGCUUUUUGGGGUUAUAGAGGGGAUGCAGAACCCAGGUCAAGCACCUGCUAAAUCCAGUCUCAUGAAGACAAUUAUGGCCCAUAAUCACUGCAGACUUCCAAGAUGCCAGGCGCUGUGCAGAGAACUUUGUGUGAACAUCAUCUUCAAUUCUCUCCAGUGUUUUACAUGGGAAGAUGCAACACUGAUCGAGUUAAGGUCAACUCAGAGUCAGUGGGAGGAGGCGGGUGAGAGUGUUCCACAAACCGUGGGUCACUCAUCACCAUUUGCAGAUAAGCCCUGGAAAGCACCGGGAAGUACCACUUCUGUUGGAGAACAGCACACCACAAUGCCAUUGGGCCUGAUGACGUGGGCAACCUGGCCGGCAGGGACGCCUGUGAGUUCCCAGGAUGUGCUGGUUCCAUCGUCCACGAUGAAUGUGGUUGUGAUGGACGCUGGGCAGCUCUGUCCACAGUUAUUCAGAGAAGACUCAUCAUGGGUCUCAAGAUACGUAUGCAAGUCAAUCUCUCUAUCUUCCGUUUCUUCAUCCAUUCCAUCCACCUGACUGAGUGCCCUCUCAUUUAUAUAUGUCUUAAUAUUUUAUAUGCUGCAUAAAAUAUCCAAAUGCAUAUACAAUAAUUCUCUAAAUAUAGCAUAUGAUAUUUAAAUGUAUAAAAUAUAUGUAUAAACAUACCUUGUGUAUACCUCCUAUUGUCAAGUGUGGAGAAAGCUAGCAGGUACCCUCUUAACCAGUUAACCAGUCAGUUAACUAACCUCUGUCUAACUAACUAACUAAACUCUGUCAGCUAACCAGUUCUGAUGAUUUUAGACAUGUCUCUUCCACUUGGGUGUUUUCACCUUGUGCUCACAUUUAAGUUUUCAGACGCACAUGCGUGUGCUCCGGGUGUGCGUGGAGAGUCAUCAGCCAGCCUGUCAGGUUGGAUCUGAUCCCAGGGUGGUGGAAAGCCCCCCUCCUGGCCUGGCAGUGCCCGUGUGUGACUUGUGAUGAUGUAUGACUGUGCCAAGGCUUGUUAUGUCACGUCCCUUGAUAACUCUGUAUAAUUAAUGUGAUGCCAUCUGAUGCAGCAGUGGGUAGACGUUUAAGAAAUAAAAAGUUGUCCAUGCCCCGUGGAGCACAUCUGUUUAAUGGCAUAAUUCAAAUUAAUUUCAAACAAUUUCGUAAAAGCUCAUGGAGCCGUUCCACAUUUCUUCCUGAUGGCCCCCCCAGUUACCACGGCACAAGGCUCUGAAAAGCCACUCUGGAGUCUAUUCGCAUGAAGCACAUUUUUAACAAUUCUUUAUUUUUUAAAAGUUUUA
rnacentral:lncRNA from 1 species